UGGGCCGGAAGAAAGAUAUCACUUCCCAAAAGUCUCCUCCUGGCAAUAUGGGUGGAGACUAGGUGACAUGGUGAAAUCAUAUAAGCCUCCCGAACAUGGAAGGACCACAAUCAUCAAGGAUCAUUUUUAUAGAAAAAAUGGAGUGUUGGUCAAGCCAUCUUACACUGAAAGGUUGUUGUAAUGCAGUACUACUGAUAAUUCAGGGUACAUCUUAAAUAAAACUCACUCAAA